AACUGCGAAUGGCUCAUUAAAUCAGUUAUGAUCUACGUGACAAAUUCUUUACUACUUGGAUAACCGUGGUAAUUCUAGAGCUAAUACAUGCAAAAAAGCCCUGACUCACGAAGGGGUGCACUUAUUAGAUAAAACCAACGCGGGGUAAAACCUGUUUCUUGGUGAAUCAUAAUAAUUAAGCGGAUCGCAUGGCCUUGAGCCGGCGACGGUCCACUCGAUUUUCUGCCCUAUCAUGGUUGAGAUUGUAAGAUAGAGGCUUACAAUGCCUAUAACGGGUAACGGGGAAUUAGGGUUCGAUUCCGGAGAGGGAGCCUGAGAAACGGCUACCACAUCCAAGGAAGGCAGCAGGCGCGCAAAUUACCCAAUCCCGACACGGGGAGGUAGUGACAAUACAUAACAAUGCAGGGCCUUUAAGGUCUUGCAAUUGGAAUGAGUACAAUUUAAAUCCCUUAACGAGGAUCAAUUGGAGGGCAAGUCUGGUGCCAGCAGCCGCGGUAAUUCCAGCUCCAAUAGCGUAUAUUAAAGUUGUUGCAGUUAAAACGUCCGUAGUCAAACUUUAGUCUUACCGGCGCGGUGGCCUGGUCUUCAUUGACCAAGCUCGCUGUCGCUGGAGACUCCACGUCCGCUGGCUCCUAGUCCUCGUGGCUAGGGUUUUGUGGACAAUUACCAUGAGCAAAUCAGAGUGUUUAAAGCAGGCUUUUAAGCUUGAAUGUGUUAGCAUGGAAUAAUGAAAUAUGACUUUAGUCCUAUUUUCGUUGGUUUAGGUACUAUAGUAAUGAUUAAUAGAAACGGUUGGGGGCAUUUGUAUUUGGCCGCUAGAGGUGAAAUUCUUGGAUUGGCCGAAGACAAACUACUGCGAAAGCAUUUGACCCAGGACGUUUUCAUUGAUCAAGGUCUAAAGUUAAGGGAUCGAAGACGAUUAGAUACCGUCGUAGUCUUAACCACAAACUAUGCCGACUAGAGAUUGGGCGUGUUUCUUAUGACUCGCUCAGCAUCU
rnacentral:rRNA from 1 species